GGAAAUAAAGAGGGCCUCUUGCUCUUGGAUGCUGUUCAUGUUCAACAACUUUGCCUUUUUAAGAUUCAUUAGACCUCUCUCUGUCUCCUUUUCUAGUAUGAGCUAUGAAAUGGUUAAGGAUUUUCUUGAUUAGAACCCAUUUCUUGGUUUAAUACAAUAACAUGGCUGCUGCUGUGAAAUUUGCCUUCUUCUCUUCUCUACUUCUUUUGAUUCUCACUUGUUCUCAAUCACUUUCUUCACAUAAUUUCUACCUCAAGAGGCAAGCUUCAAUCCUUGUUUCUAUUAAACAAUCUUUUGAAUCCUAUGAUCCUUUCCUCAUUUCCUGGAAUAUGUCAAACUACUUGCUUCUUUGCUCUUGGGCUGGCAUCCGUUGCGACGAUAUGAACAGAUCAGUAGUUUCUUUAGAUAUAUCAAAUUCCAACAUCUCUGGCUCUCUCUCACCUCUCAUCACUGAACUUCGAAGUCUUGUCAAUCUUUCUCUCACUGGAAACAGCAUCUCCGGCGAGUUCCCCCGAGAAAUUCACAAGCUUCCAAGGCUUCAAUUCCUGAACAUUUCUGAUAAUCAAUUCAGUGGAGAGCUGGACUGGGACUUCUCUCAGUUUAAAGAGCUGCAAGUGCUGGAUGUUUAUGAUAACAACUUCAAUGGUUCACUUCCACUUGGUGUCACUCAACUCGCCAAGCUGAAACACUUGGAUUUUGGCGGGAAUUACUUUACAGGAACUAUCCCUGCGAGCUAUGGAAGUAUGGUGCAGCUGAAUUAUCUUUCAGUCAAGGGAAACGAUUUGCGUGGUUUUAUACCUGGCGAGCUUAGUAAUCUUACUAAUCUUGAGCGGCUCUACUUGGGAUAUUUCAAUGAAUUUGAUGGUGGAAUCCCUCAUGAGUUGGGCAAAUUAAUCAAUCUGGUUCAUCUAGACCUUGCAAAUUGCAGCUUAGAGGGUCCGAUACCUCCAGAGUUGGGCAAUCUUAACAAAUUAGAUACCCUUUUCUUGCAAACAAAUGAGCUCUCUGGCUCGAUUCCUUGGGAGCUGGGCAAUUUGAGCAGCAUCAAAUCUCUGGAUCUUUCAAACAAUGUUCUAGCGGGAGAUAUACCACUUGAAUUUUCAGGGCUUCAAGAACUCACUCUACUGAACCUAUUCCUUAACAAGCUUCACGGAGAAAUCCCCCGUUUCGUCACAAAGCUACCAAAGUUGGAAGUCCUGAAGCUUUGGCGCAAUAAUUUCACAGGAGCUAUUCCUGAAAACCUUGGAGAAAACGGCAGAUUAAUUGAACUUGAUCUCUCAAGCAAUAAGCUUACUGGAUUAGUCCCCAGAUCACUCUGCUUAGGAAGGAACCUGCAGAUUCUCAUUUUACGCAUCAACUUUCUGUUUGGGCCUCUGCCUGAUGAUCUUGGCCACUGCGACACACUAACAAGAGUUAGAUUGGGGCAGAAUUACCUGACAGGAUCAAUUCCAAGUGGGUUUCUUUACUUGCCAGAGUUAUCACUCAUGGAGCUGCACAGCAAUUAUCUGAGUGGACGAGUUCCAGAGCAAACCAGUAAGCUAUCCUCAAAGCUUAAGCAGCUGAAUAUUUCAGACAAUCGUUUAUCUGGGCCACUUCCUGCAUCUAUAGGAAAUUUCUCUAGCCUGCAGAUUCUUCUACUGAGUGGAAACCAAUUCGCAGGGGAAAUUCCACCUGAAAUAGGUCGAUUGAAAAAUGUCCUAACUUUGGAUAUGAGUAGAAACAACUUUUCAGGCAAUAUUCCCCCUGAGAUUGGUAAUUGUCAAAUGCUGACUUCCUUAGAUUUGAGCCAAAACCAACUCUCAGGCCCAAUCCCAAUUCAGAUCACUCAAAUUCACAUAUUAAACUAUCUCAAUAUCUCCUGGAACCACUUGAACCUGAGUCUUCCUAAGGAAAUUGGGUCCAUGAAAAGCCUAACCUCUGCAGAUUUCUCCCAUAAUAACUUCUCUGGUUCCAUGCCCGAAUUUGGACAGUAUUCAUUAUUUAACUCCUCAUCUUUUGCUGGUAAUCCUUACCUGUGUAGCUCAUACUUGAUUCCUUGCAACAAAUCCUCCACCUCUUCAUUACAAUUCCAUGACCAAAACAACUCCAGGAUACAUGUCCCUGGAAAAUUCAAACUUGUUUUUGUUCUAGGACUAUUAGCAUGUUCAUUGGUAUUUGUUGUUUUGGCAAUCAUCAAGGCUCGAAAGAUACGAAGAAACUCGAAAAGUUGGAAGCUCACAGCAUUCCAAAAGCUGGAAUUCGGAUGUGAAGACAUACUAGAAUGUGUCAAGGAAAACAACAUCAUAGGUAGAGGAGGAGCUGGGAUUGUGUAUAAAGGGAUAAUGCCAAAUGGAGAACAAGUAGCAGUGAAGAAAUUGAUGGGAAUAAGCAAAGGGUCAUCUCAUGACAAUGGUCUCUCAGCAGAAAUACAAACUUUAGGCAGAAUUAGACACAGGAACAUUGUGAGAUUGCUGGGAUUUUGUUCCAAUAAAGAGACAAAUCUAUUAGUCUACGAGUAUAUGUCACAUGGAAGCUUAGGUGAAGUUCUUCAUGGGAAGAGAGGAGGGUAUCUCAAGUGGGAUACCAGGUUGAAAAUUGCCAUUGAAGCUGCAAAAGGGCUAUGUUACUUGCACCAUGACUGCUCCCCUCUAAUUAUCCACAGGGAUGUCAAAUCGAAUAACAUUUUGCUAAACUCAGAUUUUGAAGCUCAUGUAGCUGAUUUUGGACUUGCCAAGUUCUUGCAAGAUACCGGAACUUCAGAAUGCAUGUCUGCAAUUGCUGGCUCCUAUGGCUAUAUUGCCCCAGGUAAUUAGUUAACUUCCUUUUUAGACUAAAAUAGAUUCCAAGAUCAAAAUUAAACAAUUUAGUUGACUCGUAACCUGAUGAGACCAUUUUUUGGCCUUUGUAGAUAUAUAUGCUUGACUGUGCUACUAAUCAAAAGCAUUUUUUUUCCCUCAUUUGCCUUUGACGUUAUGUAAUGAUUAAGCCACUCCAAGAAACCAGGUUAAUCAUUUCAUUAAAAAAAAAAAAACGUUAUUGUUCUUCUUCAUUUCUGUGUUUUUUGUGGCAACGUAAAAAAGGGGGUAUAUUUCUUUUCUUUUUAAAAAAAUUAAUUUUAGGCUUUCUAGAAUUACACAUGAAUUUCCACUUGCUAGGAUCAAAGUAGUGUGCAAUGCAAGAGACUAACAGUCAUGUGGAGUCCAAGAAUGGUAAAGUCUCCACUAACGCAAAGGAAAAAAGAAAUUAUUCUUUCUUUUGCUUUUCCUCUCAGCUUUAUCACACAAUACUUACCAUGGGUGUGUGAGCUUCACAACAUUCACACCAAUCACAAGCAACCUUUUUGACCCAAACCAAUGAAAAAAGCAAUAACAAAUUCCGCCAAAAUCCAAGCGUACCACCUUGAGAAUCUUGUUUUGGGAUCUAAUCUUCACUUUCUCUAAGACCUAGGAAGAGGGGAAAAAAAACUAUAUGGGUAUAGAAUACAGACACAAAGCAUAAGUUAGCUUUUCCUUUUUACAUGUACUUGUUGCUCACUUUACCUUGUGUGAUGGGUUGAAAACACAUCUUUUUCUGUGUAUGCAUAGGUUGCUUGAUUUGCCUCAAACUCCUUUAUAUUGUUAUUAUUAUUAUUAGGCUUUGAAUCAAUUUCUUUCUGCAAUAUCUUGUCAGAGUAUGCAUACACCUUGAAAGUGGAUGAGAAGAGCGAUGUGUACAGCUUUGGAGUGGUACUGCUAGAGCUAAUCGCAGGAAGGAGACCUGUGGGUGACUUUGGAGAAGAAGGACUAGACAUUGUUCAAUGGACCAAAUUACAAACCAACUCAAGCAAAGAAAGAGUGGUUAACAUAUUGGAUCAAAGGGUCACUGAUAUUCCACUAAAUGAAGCAAUGCAGGUCUUCUUUGUAGCUAUGCUGUGCGUUCAAGAACACAGUAUAGAGAGGCCAACCAUGAGAGAAGUUGUGCAAAUGCUUGCACAAGCUAAGCAACCCAAUACAUUCCACAUGCAGUAGUAGAAAUGGGCGCUUGAUAAGAUAGGUGAUUCAUUGAUCCAGUGGUGAAAAUUGGGUGACUGAGAAGUGAGAUCACUCUGCUCAAUUGCAGAAGUGGAGCCACAUCUAUCACUGCAAGAUACAUCAUAGUAUGUAAUUAUCAUAUUUAGUGCUUUUCUUUUUCCUUUCUUUUUUGGUUGUUACCCAAUUUUCGUAUUGUGCUAAUGUUGUUUGAAAAGCACAUUUGCUCCAUUAUUGUACUUAUAGUAAGACUAGGAUUAGAUUUCAGGGGAGUGGAGGGUGUUUUGGUCAUUUUGUCAAGCAUGUGGAAUCAAGAAUAGGGAAAGGGAUGUUCUGCAAAAUCCUGAUGAUAAUUUUUGGCUUCAUUAUGGUGUAAUCAUUUUAGAUGGUUUAUGAAUUUCGUGGUAAGAAUGUUC
rnacentral:misc_RNA from 1 species